AUUGAACGCUGGCGGCAGGCCUAACACAUGCAAGUCGAACGAGUGGCGGACGGGUGAGUAAUGUCUGGGAAACUGCCUGAUGGGGGGGGAUAACUACUGGAAACGGUAGCUAAUCCCGCAUACCAUCGGAUGUGCCCGGAUGGGAUUAGCUAGUAGGUGGGGUAAAGGCUCACCUAGGCGACGACCCCUAGCUGGUCUGAGAGGAUGACCAGCCACACUGGAACGGAGACACGGUCCAGACUCCUACGGGAGGCAGCAGUGGGGAAUAUUGCACAAUGGGCGAAAGCCUGAUGCAGACAUGCCGCGUGUAUGAAGAAGGCUUUCGGGUUGUAAAGUACUUUCAGCGGGGAGGCGUUACCCGCAGAAGAAGCACCGGCUAACUCCGUGCCAGCAGCCGCGGUAAUAC
rnacentral:rRNA from 1 species